rnacentral:rRNA from 1 species
CCUACGGGAGGCAGCAGUGAGGAAUAUUGGUCAAUGGCCGGAAGGCUGAACCAGCCAUGCCGCGUGAAGGUCAGUGCCCUAUGGGCGUUAAACUUCUUUUGUGCGGGAGCAAUAAUGGUCACGUUUGGCCAGACGAGAGUACCGUACGAAUAAGCAUCGGCUAACUCCGUGCCCGCAGCCGCGGUAAUACGGGGGAGGCAAGCGUUAUCCGGAUUUAUUGGGUUUAAAGGGUGCGUAGGCUGGGAGGUAAGUCAGCGGUGAAAUGCCCCCGCUCAACGGGGUGAAGUGCCAUUGAUACUGGCUUGCUGGAAUGCGGAUGCCGUGGGAGGAAUGUGUGGUGUAGCGGUGAAAUGCAUAGAUAUCACACAGAACACCGAGUGCGAAGGCAUCUCACGAAUCCGCGAUUGACGCUGAUGCACGAAAGCGUGGGUAUCAAACAGGAUUAGAUACCCUAGUAGUC